rnacentral:rRNA from 1 species
AUUGAACGCUGGCGGCAUGCCUUACACAUGCAAGUCGAACGGCAGCACGGGAGCAAUCCUGGUGGCGAGUGGCGAACGGGUGAGUAAUAUAUCGGAACGUGCCCAGUCGUGGGGGAUAACGCAGCGAAAGCUGUGCUAAUACCGCAUACGAUCCCUGGAUGAAAGCGGGGGAACGUAAGGCCUCGCGCGAUUGGAGCGGCCGAUAUCAGAUUAGCUAGUGGGUGGGGUAAAGCACAACCAAGGCGACGAUCUGUAGCUGGUCUGAGAGGACGACCAGCCACACUGGAACUGAGACACGGUCCAGACUCCUACGGGAGGCAGCAGUGGGGAAUUUUGGACAAUGGGCGCAAGCCUGAUCCAGCAAUGCCGCGUGCAGGAUGAAGGCCUUCGGGUUGUAAACUGCUGUUGUACGGAACGAAACGGCGAGCUCUAAUAAAGUUUGCUAAUGACGGUACCGUAAGAAUAAGCACCGGCUAACUACGUGCCAGCAGCCGCAGUAA